rnacentral:rRNA from 1 species
CCUACGGGAGGCAGCAGUGGGGAAUAUUGGACAAUGGGCGGAAGCCUGAUCCAGCAACGCCGCGUGAGGGAUGACGGCCUUCGGGUUGUAAACCUCUUUCGGUAGGGACGAAGCGCAAGUGACGGUACCUACUAAAGAAGCACCGGCCAACUACGUGCCAGCAGCCGCGGUAAUACGUAGGGUGCGAGCGUUGUCCGGAAUUAUUGGGCGUAAAGGGCUCGUAGGCGGUUUGUCGCGUCGGGAGUGAAAACCAGGUGCUUAACACCUGGCUUGCUUUCGAUACGGGCAGACUAGAGGUAUGCAGGGGAGAACGGAAUUCCUGGUGUAGCGGUGAAAUGCGCAGAUAUCAGGAGGAACACCGGUGGCGAAGGCGGUUCUCUGGGCAUGACCUGACGCUGAGGAGCGAAAGUGUGGGGAGCGAACAGGAUUAGAUACCCUGGUAGUCCACACCGUAAACGUUGGGCGCUAGGUGUGGGGUCCAUUCCACGGAUUCCGUGCCGCAGCUACGACAUAGUCGCCCGCCGUCGGGUAGGUACGGCCGGCCGACGGACGUAAACGUACGAAACGAAGUAGUACGGACGCGUAAGAGUAGUUCGACGACGACGACGACGGAGGAGGAG